rnacentral:rRNA from 1 species
UACGUAGGGUGCAAGCGUUGUCCGGAAUUAUUGGGCGUAAAGAGCUCGUAGGCGGUCUGUCGCGUCUGCUGUGAAAACUCGGGGCUUAACCCCGGGCCUGCAGUGGGUACGGGCAGACUAGAGUGCGGUAGGGGAGACUGGAAUUCCUGGUGUAGCGGUGAAAUGCGCAGAUAUCAGGAGGAACACCGGUGGCGAAGGCGGGUCUCUGGGCCGAUACUGACACUGAGAAGCGAAAGCAUGGGGAGCGAACAGG